ACGGAUUCGCAGAUGGUCUAGUGGUAUGAUUCUUGCUUUGGGUGCAAGAGGCCCCGUGUUCGAUCCACGGUGUUCGUA
rnacentral:tRNA from 1 species